GAACUUUUGACACGGCUGUGGAAGGACGUCAUGCGUUAGGUAAAGGAAAAUGAACACAUAAUUUAGCCAUAAAAUCGCGGGCAGAACGACGGCGGUUUUAAUUAAUAAGCCUUGAGGAUUUGUGUGUGUGUGUGUGUGUGUGUGUGUGUGUAUGUGUGUGUGUGUGGGAGGAGGAGGUAUAAUGGUUACUGGGGUGCUAAGAAUCGAAAAUCCGAGAUUUUCUUUUGUGAAAUUUCAUGCAAGUUCCUUUGGACACCUUUGUGUCUAAGCAUCUAUUAACUAAGAAUACCAGGCUGACAGAAUUUUUUUUUAACUGUAUUAUCCUCACGUAUGUGUAGACUGUGGACUUUUAAAACAGCAGCAUAGUUAUUUUGCUUCUUGUGGUCUGUGUUUUUAGUUCUUGAAAGCAAAGUUGAUCUGUUUUUUCUGUAUUAUAAGAAUGAAAUAACAAAAGUUGAACUGUUACUAUAAUAUUUUAUCACCAUGAUAUUAGCAGCACUAGUGCUAAACAUAUGCCACCCAGGAGUUGGAGCCAUAUGUUAGGAAGAAACUAAUUGAGUUUUGUGGCUGUGAUCUUGUAUUUGGCUAAAUAUUUAGUUUUUGUUUAUUUGCUAAAUCUGUAAUUCUUGCCAUCGCCUAAGUUUUGUUUAAAUCAUCCAAAAAUAGUCCAGAGCAUUGAGUCCUCUGCCUUUUUGAUAUUUUCUGUUUGAAUUGAUUUUUCUCAAGUAAUGAGAUAAAGUGCCCCCUGAGACAGAUGGUGGACUUAAAAGCAGUGAUGAGAAGGAUUUUUAACACAUCUUUUAUAAUAUAGAAACUAAAAUUUUGCUUUCAGCUUUUAGCUCCUUCAUUUUUGCCAUCACUACUUAUAUACCAGUUAGUGGGAAGAAGGGACAAUGAUUUGACAGGAAAAAAUUUUAUUAAAUAUUUUUAUGAAUAAUGUCAUAUAUGAGAAUUAUAGCACUGUAAUAGUAAAUUUUACUAAAUUUUACUCCUUUCCCUACGUAGAACAUCUCUCAAUUUUCUUGUUUAGGUUAAUUGAAAAUUUUUUUAUCCCAGGCUGGCUGCUUUUAACCACCUGUAUACUCCUGAAUGAAUUCCCUUUUUCCCUUUUGUCUUAACUGUCAAAAAUCAUUGACUGUUCCGGAAAAAUAAACUUCUGGUUAACACUGGCUUCAGUCAAACAUAAUUAUAAGGGUAAUUUGCUUCUUGCAAAUUAAUGAUAUGCAUUCAGAAAAACAGAUUGUAGAAUUAUCUUUUGGUAUCAUCUGUGUCAUCACUUCCCCCCUUUGUGUGAGUAAUUGAGAGCGGCUUUAUUUUAUCGUGCAUUUAGUAAUUACAUUUUAAUUUUUAAAAUUCUAUGGUACAAUAUUGAGCAUAUUUUAUUACAAAUUUGGAAAAAUUUCUCCCUCUGCUCUGACCAACCAGGCAGAGGUCAGGAUUGAGGGACUGUAAAACCCAGAAAAAAGAGAAGGAAUGCAUGAUUAAUAUUCUUUUGUCUUUUGUAGCUUUUCAUAGGUGAGGAGCAUUUAGUUUAUAUUUUUAGUUUAGACUUAUGGGUAGUAGUUAUGACCGUUUUAAAAAAUCUGUAUUUUUUUAAUGUAGAUACAUACAUCCAAGGCUUGUGCAUCUUCUGUUUUGCCUUUAUUUUAAAAAUACAAUUUGAUGAAGUAACCUAAACAUUUUUUUUUAAUGUUCUCAGUGCAUUUUUCUAAGAAAAUGAAUCUAAAUGGUAUCUUGGAGCAUGAUGUAGGAAUAUGCAUGUCAUUUCCAAUUUUAUUAGCCAGAUAAUCAAAAGAUAAAUCUCCUUUUUUUCCCUCUAGUAAUCUCUAGCAGACUUCAAAUAAAUUCACAAUAUUGUAAAUCCAAAGGUUUAGAAUACUCUGCAUGUCUAUUACAUUGAGUCUUUUACUGCUCUAGUUUAUCUCAU
rnacentral:lncRNA from 1 species